rnacentral:tmRNA from 1 species
GGGGGCGUUCUGGUUUCGACGGGAUGUUCGAUUCGCUGGCUGCACGUCGAGGUUGGUCGGUUGGCCUCGUAAAAAGCCGCCCAAAACAAAUAAUUGCAGACUCUAACGAGCUCGCACUUGCUGCUUAAUUGACAGCAACGCCCGAACCCUGACGCCUAUUAAGGGGGAAGGCGACUACCUAAUAGGCUGGCCAUCUGAUCGGGCGACCGGGUCGAAUGGCGAGAUUCAACAGGACGCUAGGUUGAGGGACGCGGCAAACAGGCCGAACUCAUCCGAAACUACCGACUGUCUGCUAAACGUGUAGAUGCCAGUGUUGAUGACGUUGCGGACAGGGGUUCGACUCCCCUCGCCUCCACCA